UACGUAGGGUGCAAGCGUUGUCCGGAAUUAUUGGGCGUAAAGAGCUCGUAGGCGGCCUGACAGGUCUGCUGUGAAAACUCGAGGCUCAACCUCGAGAUGUCGGCGGAAACCGUCUGGCUAGAGUCCGGAAGAGGAGAGUGGAAUUCCUGGUGUAGCGGUGAAAUGCGCAGAUAUCAGGAGGAACACCAAUGGCGAAGGCAGCUCGCUGGGACGUGACUGACGCUGAGACGCGAAAGCGUGGGGAGCAAACAGG
rnacentral:rRNA from 1 species